rnacentral:misc_RNA from 1 species
GCCCUGGGACCUAAUGGCUUUGGCCCUCCUCAGUUUCUCAACAUUUAUCUUUCUGCCAAACAACUUUCCAAUGUAGUGAAGUUUGCGGCACUGGGUGGUGAUCAUCCCAGCUGUGGAUGGUGCCUCAUUCAGAAUAACCUCGUACCCAUCUCUGUACGGUUCCAUGCCUUCGGUCAGAAGCUGCCAGAAGAGUCCACCGGCAGCAGCGCCACCAGUUCUCGCUGACCAGUAAAUCUUUGAGUAGACAGUGCUGUACAAUGCGUCUCUCUGGCUGUUGCUGAAUCCACUGUCUUUCCACGAUUUUCCAAAUUCGGUCAGCAAAAGUGGUUUACCGAGGAGGCGGCGUGCGUCUCUGAUAUGGAUGUCAAGCCAAUUAUUCAGGAAAGCAAGCUGCGACUGAUCAUUUGAAUAGGGUAACCAUUGGUCUGGAUAUGAAUGAAGAGUAGCAAAGUCGAUGCCAGGAAUCCUGUUGUUUGUAAUGAAAUCGGUUCCCACUUGGAAGCCUGGAUUGAACCCAGUAGUUGACGGCCCGUAAAAUCCUUCUAAACCAGCUUCUAGUAAAUGGUUUCCGUCUAUGGAUUUCACGAAAGAAGCCAUCUCCGUGAUCCAUGACUGAAUGCUGUUUCCUGACAAAUCAGAUGGACAUCUGGGCUCAUUCAUAAGCUCCCAUGCGAAGAUAGUUGGAUCGUCCUUAUAAGCCACCCCAGUUAUGGUGUUGAUUCUUGUGAGCAUAGUCUUAACAUGAUUCUUAUAGAAGCCCUUGACAACACCAUUUGUGAAGAACUGAUCAUCAGAUCCAAUAUUUUGCCCUUGCUCCCUAGCCCACUGCACAUACUGCUUCUUCCCCCCAAAGUUGUCAUAGUUGUUCACCAGGCUCAGUAUCAGCCUCAUCUUAUACCUCUUAGCUUCAGACAACACAAAAUCCAUCCCCUUGAACAUCUGCUCAUUGUAUAAGCCAGGGGAGUACUGCAAGG